GGAUGAACGCUGGCGGCGUGCCUAAUACAUGCAAGUCGAGCGAACGGCCGAGAAGCUUGCUUCUCUGAUGUUAGCGGCGGACGGGUGAGUAACACGUGGAUAACCUACCUAUAAGACUGGGAUAACUUCGGGAAACCGGAGCUAAUACCGGAUAAUAUUUUGAACCGCAUGGUUCAAAAGUGAAAGACGGUCUUGCUGUCACUUAUAGAUGGAUCCGCGCUGCAUUAGCUAGUUGGUAAGGUAACGGCUUACCAAGGCAACGAUGCAUAGCCGACCUGAGAGGGUGAUCGGCCACACUGGAACUGAGACACGGUCCAGACUCCUACGGGAGGCAGCAGUAGGGAAUCUUCCGCAAUGGGCGAAAGCCUGACGGAGCAACGCCGCGUGAGUGAUGAAGGUCUUCGGAUCGUAAAACUCUGUUAUUAGGGAAGAACAUAUGUGUAAGUAACUGUGCACAUCUUGACGGUACCUAAUCAGAAAGCCACGGCUAACUACGUG
rnacentral:rRNA from 1 species